GAUUCUGGCUCAGGAUGAACGCUAGCGACAGGCUUAACACAUGCAAGUCGAGGGGCAGCACGGGAGUAGCAAUACGUUGGUGGCGACCGGCGCACGGGUGAGUAACGCGUAUGCAACCUACCUAUCAGAGGGGAAUAACCCGGCGAAAGUCGGACUAAUACCGCAUAAACAGGGGCACCGCAUGGUGAUAUUUGUUAAAGAAAUUCGCUGAUAGAUGGGCAUGCGUUCCAUUAGGUAGUUGGUGAGGUAACGGCUCACCAAGCCGACGAUGGAUAGGGGAACUGAGAGGUUGGUCCCCCACACUGGUACUGAGACACGGACCAGACUCCUACGGGAGGCAGCAGUGAGGAAUAUUGGUCAAUGGGCGGGAGCCUGAACCAGCCAAGUCGCGUGAAGGAAGAAGGAUCUAUGGUUCGUAAACUUCUUUUGCAGGGGAAUAAAGUGCAGGACGUGUCCUGUUUUGUAUGUACCCUGAGAAUAAGGAUCGGCUAACUCCGUGCCAGCCGCUGC
rnacentral:rRNA from 1 species